rnacentral:rRNA from 1 species
UGCGAAUGGCUCAUUAAAUCAGCUAUGGUUCCUUAGAUCGUACCUACUACAUGGAUAACUGUAGUAAUUCUAGAGCUAAUACAUGCCACUAUGCCCUGACCCGCAAGGGGACGGGUGGAUUUAUUAGAACAGAACCAACCGGUUGUGGCUUCGGUCGCUUCCGUUGUACUCUGUGAUGACUCUGGAUAACUUCACUGAUCGCAGUCGGCCUUGUGUCGGCGACGGAUCUUUCAAAUGUCUGCCCUAUCAAUUUUCGAUGGUAGGUGACCUGCCUACCAUGGUGAUAACGGGUAACGGGGAAUCAGGGUUCGAUUCCGGAGAGGGAGCCUGAGAAACGGCUACCACUUCCAAGGAAGGCAGCAGGCACGCAAAUUACCCAAUCCCGGAACGGGGAGGUAGUGACGAAAAAUACGGAUACGGGACUCGUAUGAGGCUCCGUAAUUCGAAUGAGUACAAUUUAAAUCCUUUAACGAGGAUCAACUGGAGGGCAAGUCUGGUGCCAGCAGCCGCGGUAACUCCAGCUCCAGAAGCGUAUAUUAAAGUUGUUGCAGUUAAAAAGCUCGUAGUUGGAUCUGGGUCGUAUGGCUACGUGCCGUCGCCCGUAAUCACGGCUUGGUUCCGACUAGGUCAGGUUUGCGGGUCGGUUUCGUGGCUGUGCAGCCUUUCUGCCGUGUCUGUUUCGACAGGUGCCGGCCUAAUCGAUGGGCUUGUCUCGUUGGUUGGUUGGCAUGCUUCCAGAUGCCUUUGAACGGGUGUCGGGGGCGGACGGUACGUUUACUUUGAACAAAUUUGAGUGCUCAAAGCAGGCCUGUGCCUGAAAAUUCUUGCAUGGAAUAAUGGAAUAGGACUUCGGUUCUAUUUUGUUGGUUUUCGGAUCCGAAGUAAUGGUUAAGAGGGACAGACGGGGGCAUUUGUAUGGCGGUGUUAGAGGUGAAAUUCUUGGAUCGCCGCCAGACAAACUACAGCGAAAGCAUUUGCCAAGGAUGUUUUCAUUGAUCUGGAGCGAAAGUCAGAGGUUCGAAGACGAUCAGAUACCGUCCUAGUUCUGACCAUAAACGAUGCCAACUGACGAUCCGUGGGUGAUCUUUUAAUGACCCUGCGGGCAGUCCCCGGGAAACCUUUAAGUCUUUGGGCUCCGGGGGAAGUAUGGUUGCAAAGCUGAAACUUAAAGGAAUUGACGGAAGGGCACCACCAGGAGUGGAGCCUGCGGCUUAAUUCGACUCAACACGGGAAAACUCACCCGGCCCGGACACUGUGAGGAUUGACAGAUUGAUAGCUCUUUCUUGAUUCGGUGGUUGGUGGUGCAUGGCCGUUCUUAGUUGGUGGAGCGAUUUGUCUGGUUAAUUCCGAUAACGAACGAGACUUUGGCCUGCUAAAUAGUAUACCUGUCCUCUGUGCUCGUGCAGGUGGCGGUUCUCUCUGCCCUUUCGGGGGUGGGUGAGGCUGUUUACCGGCGGGUACUGCGCAGGCAUUUACUUCUUAGAGGGACAAGCGACGCGAAAGUCGCACGAAAAUGAGCAAUAACAGGUCUGUGAUGCCCUUAGAUGUCCGGGGCCGCACGUGCGCUACAAUGACGGUUUCAGCGAGUUUUGAAUCCUGGCCCGAAAGGGUUGGGCAAACUGAAUCAUCACCGUCGUGACUGGGAUCGGGGCUUGCAAUUAUUCCCCGUGAACGAGGAAUUCCUGGUAAGUGCAAGUCAUAAGCUUGCGCUGAUUACGUCCCUGCCCUUUGUACACACCGCCCGUCGCUACUACCGAUUGAAUGGUUUAGCAAGGUCAUCGGAUCGGUGCCAUUGUAGUUGUUUCGGCAACUCGACCGGUGCUGAGAAGACGACCAAACUUGAUCAUUUAGAGGAAGUAAAAGUCGUAACAAGGUUUCCGUAGGUGAACCUGCGGAAGGAUCAUUACAGAAAUCCCAAAUAUAAAACACUCAGUCUAACUGAGCUGUUUCCAGGUUGUAAUACUUGGAUGCCUCGCAGAAUGGCCUGCCUUCGGUGAAGUGCUUUAAUUUCACCUAUGCCUCGCAGAAUGGCCUGCCUUCGGUGAAGUGCUUUAAUUUCACCUAUGCCUCGCAGAAUGGCCUGCCUUCGGUGAAGUGCUUCAAUUUCACCUAUGCCUCGCAGAAUGGCCUGCCUUCGGUGAAGUGCUUCAAAUUUCACCUAAUUACUAGGCUAUACCUGGUGCACUUGUGCAUCUACGUAUAGUUCCACCUGUGACAGGGUGCCUUCUUGUCUGAUGCUUGCGGGGUGCUUGCAAUAUUGCAUUGCCAGUUCAUCUUGCGGGUGACGAGAUGUGCUGUCGUUCGCGGCAGUGCUAGGCUUAAAGAGUGGUUGUUUAAGCUAAGGCUAAGCUACCGCCCUGUUUGUUUGUUACCUAAACCUAUUUUACACUGUUCAAGUGAUUCAGGUUGGCGCAAGCCAGUUUGGAUCAUUGCCCACAACAUGGGUCUCGCGUGAGCUUGACCGCAUGUUCAGUCGCCUGGCGGUGCCUUAUCCCGGGUAGGACUGAGAAACCUUCGUUCAAUUGGGAAACCAUUUGUUCGAGGUUCGUACAACUCUGAGCGGUGGAUCACUCGGCUCGUGUGUCGAUGAAGAGCGCAGCCAACUGUGUGAAUUAAUGUGAACUGCAUACUGCUUUGAACAUCGACAUCUUGAACGCACAUUGCGGCCAUGGGUUAGCCCAUGGCCACGCCUGUCCGAGGGUCGGCUUAUAAAUUAUCACGACGCCCUACAAGUCGUGGCUUGGGUUUUGCCAGCUGACGUGAUUUCCCCUUUUGGUAAUUUCGGGGUGUCAGAUCUAUGGCGUUUCCCUAAUGUAUCCGGUUACAACCGCAUAUUGGCUUAUUGCUUUUAUGAGGAUGUGACUGCGGAGUCGUGGCUCAAUGGUAAUGUUUAUGUGCGCGCUCCGUCAGUUCUUCCAGGUUAAAUGUUAACCGUGUUUUGCGCUUUGGCGUAUUACUCCUGACCUCGGAUCAGACGUGAUUACCCGCUGAACUUAAGCAUAUCACUAAGCGGAGGAAAAGAAACUAACAAGGAUUCCCUCAGUAACGGCGAGUGAACAGGGAAAAGCCCAGCACCGAAGCCUGUGGCCAUUUGGUUACAAGGCAAUGUGGUGUUUAGGUCGUUCCGCAGAGGUUCUGCUCCACCCUAAGUCCAUCAAUGAGUACGGUAGUAUGGACGUGGCCCAUAGAGGGUGAAAGGCCCGUGGGGGUGGAGAUCCGAUUGGCCAGAGCCUCUCUGGGUAGACCUUGGAGUCGGGUUGUUUGAGAAUGCAGCCCAAAGUGGGUGGUAAACUCCAUCCAAGGCUAAAUACUAACACGAGUCCGAUAGCGAACAAGUACCGUGAGGGAAAGUUGAAAAGUACUUUGAAGAGAGAGUAAACAGUGCGUGAAACCGCUCAGAGGUAAACGGGUGGUGUUGAACUGCAAGCUUUGAGAAUUCAGCUGGUGAGUGUGGGUUGAGCUUGGUCAAUUUGGUGAACUCCGGGGUCUGCGUAGUAGCAGGUCUCUGCCUUCGGGUGGGGAUGCGCGAUGCACUUGUCAAGUGUUGUGCGCUCUGGUUGUUCUUUGUGCCAGCUCGCCAGUGCAUUUUCUCAGAGUGGUCACCACGACCGACACCGCUGUCUGGCUGCUAUGGUUAAACCGGUUCUGCAUUGUCCUUGUGGCUUUGCUUUGUCGGGAUGGCAGGUAGCUCGUUGACUUGCUUGUGGCUUGCUGCAGGCGUUUGGUUUUCGAGUGUAAUCAGCUGACUGUAGUGGUUCUGUGCAGUGUGUCGGAGACGGCGGCUUGAGGUGUGUGCAUGCGUUCCUGUUCUGCUGACUUGUCCGGGUUUGGUUAUUAUGUUGCCUGUUCAAGCAGGCCUAGUGAUAGCUCGGAUUCGUUCGGUGGGCGGUUGCGUGUGUGGCACUAUCCAAGGGCCAACAGUCUGUGGUGUAGUGGUAGACUUACCACCCGACCCGUCUUGAAACACGGACCAAGGAGAGUAACAUGUACGCGAGUCAUUGGGCGUUACGAAACCCAAAGGCGCAGUGAAAGUAAAGGUCUGACUCGUUCAGGCUGAGGUGAGAUCCUGUCGUUUCUCACGCGUGGUACUUCCAAGCAUCGAGCGGCAGGCGCAUCACCGGCCCGUCCCAUGGCAGUUGUUUUCGGGCAGUUUUCGGUCGGGGCGGAGCAUGAGCGUACAUGUUGAGACCCGAAAGAUGGUGAACUAUGCUUGCGCAGGUUGAAGCCAGAGGAAACUCUGGUGGAGGACCGCAGCGAUUCUGACGUGCAAAUCGAUCGUCAAACGUGAGUAUAGGGGCG